rnacentral:rRNA from 1 species
AGUGAACGCUGGCGGUAGGCCUAACACAUGCAAGUCGAACGGCAGCACAGUAAGAGCUUGCUCUUACGGGUGGCGAGUGGCGGACGGGUGAGGAAUACAUCGGAAUCUACUUUUUCGUGGGGGAUAACGUAGGGAAACUUACGCUAAUACCGCAUACGACCUACGGGUGAAAGCAGGGGAUCUUCGGACCUUGCGCGAUUGAAUGAGCCGAUGUCGGAUUAGCUAGUUGGCGGGGUAAAGGCCCACCAAGGCGACGAUCCGUAGCUGGUCUGAGAGGAUGUUCACCCAAAUUGAAAUUGAACAAGGUGCCGACCUCUUAGGGAAGGCAGCGGGGGGAAUAUUGGAAAAAGGGGCGAAGCCUGAUCCAGCCAUACCGCGUGGGUGAAGAAGGCCUUCGGGUUGUAAAGCCCCUUUGUUGGGAAAGAAAAGCAGCAGGUUAAUACCCCGCUGUUCUGACGGUACCCAAAGAAUAAGCACCGGCUAACUUCGUG